rnacentral:rRNA from 1 species
AACGUAGGUGGCGAGCGUUAUCCGGAAUUACUGGGCGUAAAGCGUGUGCAGGCGGUUUGUUAAGUGCAGGGUGAAAGCUCCCGGCUCAACUGGGAGAGGUCCUUGCAUACUGGCGAACUCGAGGGAGGCAGAGGAAAGUGGAAUUCCCGGUGUAGUGGUGAUAUGCGUAGAUAUCGGGAGGAACACCGGUGGCGAAGGCGGCCCCCUGGUUGGAUACUGACGCUGAGACGCGAAAGCGUGGGGAGCAAACAGG